rnacentral:misc_RNA from 1 species
GAUGAAGAACGUAGCGAAAUGCGAUACUUGGUGUGAAUUGCAGAAUCCCGUGAACCAUCGAGUCUUUGAACGCAAGUUGCGCCCGAAGCCAUUAGGCCGAGGGCACGCCUGCCUGGGCGUCACACGUCGUUGCCCCCCCAUCUACUCCUUCGGGAUUGCGGGGGGCGGAUGAUGGCCUCCCGUGCGCCUCGUCGCGCGGUUGGCAUAAAUGCCAAGUCCUCGGCGACGCACGCCACGACAAUCGGUGGUUGCGAAACCUCGGUUGCCCGUCGUGUGCGGUCAUCGCGCAUCGAGGGCUGGAAAAAAUUGACGGGCUCCGGCUCGGCUUUCAACGCGACCCCAGGUCAGGCGGGGUUACCCGCUGAAUUUAAGCAUAUCAAUAAGCGGAGGA